ACUAAUUAAUUGUGAUGUUGCUCAGUGUGAAGGCCCAGGGUUCAAUAGCCAGUAACACACACCCCCCAAAACCCAACUUAGCGGGCUGGGUGUGUGGCCCAGUGGCAGAGCAAUUGCUUAGAAAUAUCAAGGCCCUGGCCUUUAUCCCCAGCACGCAGGAAAAUAAAUUCCCUGGUCUUUGCAGCAUGUUUGUUACUCAUGCAUUCUGCUUGGGCAUGAGAAGCCCACGUUGAGACAUGAAGUCAUCUGGCUGCCAGCGUUUGCCAGCAGCGCUCUCCCUGUUUGUUUGUCUAGGGCUCCGCGUGGGCAACACGACUUCCACCGAUUGCCCUGCACCCGGACUGCACCUGUGCGGCAUUUUUCUGCCCUUAGCCAGCUCGGCUGCGAGUGUGUGGGGACUCGGGGACCAGUCAUCGGCACCACGUGGGAGCUGGCAGAUCGCACGACAGGAGCUGGCUCCCGGGCCCAGGAGCAUCUUUCCUCCCAGCCCGGGCUUCCUGCCUUCCCGCCAACCGGAAGUGCCCUGCCGGCAGUGCCCCUCAGGGUCUCCUGCAAAAAGGCCAGGUGUGGGCGCAGGGUGCCCAGCCUGCGGCAGUGUGAGUUGCUGGCCAGACCAUGCAGGGGCUCGGCCCCUGAAUUCUGGGAUUGCAGCGUGCACCGCCCGCCCUCUGGUGCUUCCAGCCGAGGCCCUCAGAGUCUGCAGGCCUCCAGGUGAAGGGGAGGCGCCCGGGACAGGAGGCUGCAGGGUCCGCAGGUCACCGCCGCUCCUCCUUCGUCUCUUGGGCGUGCUUUGAUCCAGCUGAGAACAACCCCCUGUGGACUCCCACGCACACCUGGACCCUGUACUUCUGUUUCACUCAAGUUGUCCACUGGGGCCAGCGCUGAUUGGGCCCAAGAGAAUCUUCACUGUAUGUCUCAGACACCUUUCCCCGGACCUCAAUGGUUUAUCUACCGCGGAGCCACAAAUUAGCCUCAACAUAGCAUCCUGAAACAACGCACACCUACGACCUCAGUUCCUGUGGGUCAGGGGUCAGUGGUCUGGAUGAGGUCAGCACGGGCCCCCUGCUUCAUGGUCCCCCCAAGACCUCACUGAAGGCGGCGCCCAAGGCAGAAGUCUGAUCCCACAGCUCAACCCAGGGAGAAUACUCUUCCUGGCUUGCUUGUGUGGCUGCUGCAGGAUCCAGUUCCUCAGGAGCAGCUGGGCCCAGGACCUCAGUUCCUAGGUAGCUCGGGACAGAAGUCACCCCGCUGCCCGCACUGUGGCCCCAGCAGCACGGAAACUUGCUUCGUGAAAGGAGCCAGCAGGUGACACCCCCUCCUUUGCCCUGUGAACACCGGGAGAGGGUCAUGGGGACUGUCAUGCGAUCUGUCCUCCACAAGGGCCCUGAGCCCCGUUUGGCUCUUUCUGCCCCGGAAGGAGGGCAGCCAGCUGUGGUGGCCUCUGGGGGGGUCCUGUGUCCCCCGAGGGCGCUUCUGAGCCAGACAAUACGGGAGCUGCGGCUGGCCCAGGAUUUCCUUAUUUUCAGUGGAAGAUGGAAUUAGCUAACUUCCGAUCCCAUUUAGUAACUUGUGGGGCUAGAAAUUCCACCCUUUUCGUGGAUUCUUUCCUGAAAUUUGGAAUUUGUGUAUGUUGUCAUUUUGCUUGUGUAUGUCACUAAAAGCUUCAUUUGUUUUAUUUCUUUUUUUGUUCUGGUUUUUUUGAGACAGGGUCCCACGCGUAGUUCAGGCUGGCCUUGAGCUCAGUGUGUAGCUCUUGAACUCACAGUAUUCCUCUUGUCUCUCAAGUGCUGGAAUUAUAGAAGCUUCAUUUCCUGUGCAGGAAAGGACCCAAGCCACAGUGACCUAUGGCAGUAACUGAAUGUUUACUUCAUGGUACAAGCUCCUUUGGUGCCUUCAAGCAGCGAUCACUGCGCAGUGAUAUGAGUAAGCUGAAGAAGAAAUAACACAUCGGGCCGAGUGCGCACUCCCUCCCGCGGUCCUCCGGAAGUUUCUUUGGAAAGUGUGAGCCUGAGCUUCACCACCGACCCUUGUCUGUGAAAGGUGCAAGGCAGAGAAAAUGCCAGCUCAGGAUUUCAAUUCCUCAGCCAAGUGCUCGUUCCAUGUUCAUUGAGUCGAGAAACUUGCUGAACCCUACCACGCGCUCCGCACCUCCAUGGGAGUGGGGUCGGAACAAGAGGCUGCAGGAUAGCGGAGGAGACAAGCGUGGAAAGAGGCAAAACACGCACAAAGCAGUACCCAGUACCCAAGCCUCGGUCUGCAGGGAGAUAAGGAGCAUGGAGGAGUAGCCAGAGAAGCAAGUUUCCCGCGAUGGGGACAUCACUACCGGGGAUCGAACUUGGGUCCUUGCGCUUGCGUGGAUGUUUCUUGCCCUGGAGAAUCACAGCACCACUGGAUCACCGAAGUCUCAGCUGUGAGCGGAGGCCAAACCGGAGUCAUUCUGUAGCUGGGCUGUAGGCAAGAGAACCAGGCCAACCAAAUAACUUUUCCCUAGAACUAUGUAACAUUGCUCCCAACAUGGAGGUCUCUGUCUAUGGCUGUAUCUGUACAAUUUAACACAACCCUAAUAUACACAGGCUAAAGUUGGUGAGUUUGACACAAACAAAACCCGAAACUAUCACAUCACAGAGACCACAGAUGCUUCCACAACCCCCUCCCCCCAGUCUUUGUGCCCCUUUGUCAUCCACCCCAAUCGCGUGCUUGUCUGCUGGCAGCCACUGAUGUGGUUACUACUUGUUUUCAUUGUCAAGAAUUUCAUAGCAAUGAAACCAUACAGUUCUCUCUCUCUCUCUCCCUCUCUCCUUCUCCCCCCCCCUUCCUUUCUCCCUUUCCUUUCUUUGCUUUUGUGGUUUUAGGGAUUGAACCCAGGGGUUUAUGCCUGCUAGGCAAGCACUCUUCCACUGAGCUACAUCCCAAGCCAUUUUUAUU